rnacentral:lncRNA from 1 species
GACUCCUGAUAUCAAGUGAUCUUCCCGCCUCGGCCUCCCAGAGUGCUGAGAUUACAGACGUGAACCCAUGCCUGGCCAGGAAUUUUGUUUUUUAGGAAGGCUUUCUACUAAUGGAAUUCCUGGCCUUGAGAGGAUGUUACUUUAGAAGGAAAGGAUUUUUUUGUUAUUAAAAGCAGCUUAAAAUUGGUGCCUUAUUCAGACACAAGCAAAAGGACAUUAGCCCAGCUUUGGAAAUAGGUGAGAGCCCAUAUAUGAUUUUCCUAGUUUCUCCUCCCCCUUUGCUUUUUGCUCUCUUGUUAGUAUAUUAAUUGUUUUCACUCUCUGAAUCUUUUUUCCCCAUUUCUUUGGCAGACAUUUUUACUUGUCUUGGAAGAGUAGGUGAAGAGCUGUUUUUAGGACUCUUUGAAAGGGUACAGUAUGGGUGACAGUCUUGGCUAAUGGUAACAUCCAGGGAGCUGGGUUCAGCGUGAGCUGGAAUCAGUUCAAAUUAGCAAAGCACUGGCACUCAGUAGCAGGAAUACAAGUGACUGCAAAGUGUUAAACACAUCUGGAAAGGGAUACUGACAUCAUCCUCAGAAUCUGUGGGGAGUUCACAUAGCCAGUUAAGACCCAUUCUUCUUUGACCCUGUAAAGAUUCUUUAAAGAAUAAAUACCCUUAGUGGUUUUCUAGCCAGCUUGCCUGCUCAUUUAUCUUUGAGGACGACAUGCCUUGUGGAGCUCCACAGGCCCCAGAGGGGUAUGGAUUCUGCAUUUAAAAGUGCUGAAGCUGAGAGACUGGGUCUUGGUGGACCCCGAGAGGUCUGUUUCUCCUCUACUCAUUGUUCCUUUUUUUCCCAACAGCUGGCAUUGCUGUUUAAAUGGGUUGUUCUUUGCUGUUUUAAGUUGUUUCAUAGUGGUGUGUCAGGAUUUGGGUUUUCUUAAUACUUUCCAAGCUGGUGACUUGAGUGGUGGUUAGGGAGGAAAUGUUUUAGGGCUGUUCUGGAGCUAUUGAGGUCAGGUGUCUAGAUACUCCCAGCUUGUCUGUUGAGGAGAAUGCUGUUCUCAUUGUGCUGCCUUUGGUGGUGCUGUGUGUGGCUCUUUAGAUGUGCGUGGAGGUGAGCUGGGGGAGUUAAUGAGAUCUUUUUUAGGUGCUUUUCAUAAAGUAGCCUGCACUACAGGAUUCACUGUGACUUUUUUCCUUAACCUAUGCAUUUCUCUCUGCUAGCUUUUGCUGUCUUUCUCAUGCCUUUGAUUUUCCCAGCUCCUCUUAGUUGAAUUAACCUAAGUGCUCUGCUAUGGUUUAAAUGUGUCCCCCAAAGUUUAUGUGCUGGAAACUCAAUCCUCAAUGCAACAGUUGGGAUGUGGGGCCUAAUAAAAUAGCCUUCAUGAAUGA